rnacentral:ncRNA from 1 species
AUUUGCAGGUUCUGACCCAAGAGGUCAAAGAGGAAUACGGUGUAAAUCCGUAGCAGCCACUUCUACUGUAACGUGGACAAAGGAAUAAUCUGCCACUGAAUACGGAUGAUAGGUAACUAUGUAUAUCUUAUGCAUAUCAUCUGGAGUUUGGGAAGGCGUUCCGGCGGGAAGCGAAGCCAGGAUA